GAAUAUUUGCUCUUUUAGUUUUUGUCAAGUAGGUUUCCUCAAGGAGAAAGCCCUC
ensembl:snRNA U7 U7 small nuclear RNA